rnacentral:rRNA from 1 species
CUACGGGCUGCAGCAGUGGGGAAUAUUGUACAAUGAGCGAAAGCUUGAUGCAGCCAUACCGCGUGUGUGAAGAAGGCCCGAGGGUUGUAAAGCACUUUCAAUUGUGAGGAAGAUAGUAUAGUUAAUACCUGUAUUGUUUGACGUUAACUUUAGAAGAAGCACCGGCUAACUCUGUGCCAGCAGCCGCGGUAAUACAGAGGGUGCAAGCGUUAUUCGGAAUUACUGGGCGUAAAGCGCGCGUAGGCGGACUAUUAAGUCAGUUGUGAAAGCCCUGGGCUCAACCUGGGAACUGCAUCUGAUACUCGUAGUCUAGAGUUUAAGAGAGGGAAGUGGAAUUCCAGGUGUAGCAGUGAAAUGCGUAGAUAUCUGGAGGAACAACAGUGGCGAAGGCGACUUCCUGGCUUAAAACUGACGCGGAGGUGCGAAAGCGUGGGUAGCGAACGGGAUUAGAUACCCUAGUAGUC